UACGUAGGGGGCGAGCGUUGUCCGCAGUUACUGGGCGUAAAGAGUACGUAGGUGGCUUGUUAAGAUACAUCUGAAAGGUGACAGCUCAACUGUCAAUGGUGGUGUAAGACUGGCAGGCUUGAGGCAAGCAGAAGAGUGUGGAACUCCGAGUGUAGCGGUGGAAUGCGUAGAGAUUCGGAAGAACACCCAUGGCGAAGGCAGCACUCUGGGCUUGAGCCGCAAGGUUAACCUGACACUGAGGUACGAAAGCCAGGGGAGCGAACGGG
rnacentral:rRNA from 1 species